CACAGCGCCCGCACCAUACACAUAGCGCCCGCACCAUACACACAGCGCCCGCACCGUGCACACAGCACCCGCACCGUGCACGCAGUGCUCUAAUCAUCCCCUUUCUCUGCCCCUCCCUUCCACUGCCCCCAACCCACCACUCUGGGUGCAGCGCAGCUAAGAGGCCAAGUGAGGACAGUUGCUCCUCCUGCUCAGGCCCUGGGGGGCUGAGUUUGCUGGGGCACUCACUGCCACAGGCCCAGCCAUGGGCACCCACUGGAGCCUAACCCCCUCCCUCUGUCUCUGUCCCCUUGCAGAGGGCGAGGUGAGCGCUGAGGAGGAGGGCUUUGAGAGCUUGUGGACCACUGCCUCCACCUUCAUCGUCCUCUUCCUCCUGAGCCUCUUCUACAGCACCACUGUCACCUUGUUCAAGGUGAAAUGACCCCCCCAAUGCAAGGACGUCGGAGACCAAAGAGACGGAACCAGAGGGACACCGCCUCCGAGCUGGGGCCGCCUGGCCUGCGUGUCCCGUUGGCUUGUGCUGAACUCCUGCCAUGCCACCUGCAGCUGUGAGCCCUACACGCAGGCUUCUCUCUAACCGGCUAGACGCCCACUGACGCGGGGCUGCAGCCUGGGGUCUGCCCAAGCACUGCUUUGCUGUGCGUGCUUGUUGCCCUACAAUAAACGUGUAUUUUAUCUUGUGAAA